rnacentral:misc_RNA from 1 species
GAUGAAGAACGCAGCAAAAUGCGAUAAGUAAUGUGAAUUGCAGAAUUCAGUGAAUCAUCGAAUCUUUGAACGCACAUUGCGCCCGCUGGUAUUCCGGCGGGCAUGCCUGUUCGAGCGUCAUUUCAACCCUCAAGCUCUCCGGAGUUUGGUGUUGGGGCGCCUGGGGCUUUUCGACCUCAGGGCCCUCAAGUCCAUCGGCGGGACCGCCAGGACACUGAGCGCAGUAGUAUUAUUUCGCUCGGUAGGAUCUUCCACGGCGGGUCGAUCUGGCCGCUAAACCCCCCAAUUCUCACCAAAGGUUGACCUCGGAUCAGGUAGGAAUACCCGCUGAACUUAAGCAUAUCAAUAAGCGGAGGA